UUGAGUCAAGACUGGUGCAGAAGAGUUGAAACUGUUUUGUUUUGUUUACAGCUGCAGCUACAUUGUGUUAGCUUGUUUUUGUCUGUGUCUGUGUUCAGAAGUAUUUUUCCUAUGUGAGACGAGGUUGUUUGUGUGUUGUCUGACAUUGUGUGUCUGUGUUUGUGUGUUUCCAGGAGGAGCAAAGAGGGGGCAGCUUGCAACAGGAGGCCGUUGAAUGAAAUGAAGGAAACGGGAAGGAAAUGACAAAUGUUUGCUCCAUGAGACUGCAAACUGCUGUUCUCUCUUCACCGUCCUGUGUGGAAACUUCAGCUCACAAAUACAUACUUACAGGCUCUGUUGUUGUCAACGUAAAAAAAAAAAAAAAGAAAUAAACAGUCUGAGGUAAUGAUUGAAUGAUACUAAGAUUUUGAUGUUAGGAAAAAUAGACAGAAGAGAUAUGCAGAGAGGAAAUGGAACUGAAAGAAGAUUGAAAUAAAAGAGAGACUGAGGAACAGGUCAGCAGAUAAAGAUAGAAGAAAGACGAUACAGAAAAUGAUAAAUGUGGUUUGUAUUUUGUCACUAAUAGUAUGCUACAUAACACGUCUUGAGUACAGUUUGUCUUUCACUCAGCAAUCAUUUAGUUACUCACAACCACAUAAACACCCAUCAAAGAGGCUUUCAAGUUCUGUUCUUGAAGACAUAUCUGAACACAACCGGUUAGGUGAAACAAUCGGAGCACAUUUAGCAGCUUAACUGAGGCCAAAGAAACAACAUCUCCUCAAACCUCAGAGCAGGAAGCAAGUUCUUCGACUCUGAUAACCCAGAGAUCAGCAAAAACAUACUGGCAGCAAAACAAAAACACAGCAGCUCUGGAUCAGAUACAGCCUUGGCAUAUUUGCUAUUGUUUGCCUUAACGAGCCAGUAACACCCGAUCAGCUGCGUUGGCAAUUUAAAUCACAGAAAGGCAGGGCCUGAUUCAACAGGACUUCUCUUUGACAAAGCAUGAUUCAUCCAAAAAAACGCAGCCGAAAAACAAGAAAGGAAUGUCAAGGGAAGGUGAAAGGUCACUCAAAGAAUGUCAUCAACAGACAGUUUUCCUCAUUCCUGCAUAAGGGAAGAUAAGCAGAUGAUCCCUCUGUCUGAUUCAGGUGUAAUGCUUCUCAUGUGCCUAUGAUUGGCAGCACCUCAUUCAGGGAGACGGAUGGUUUAAACUGACAUCCAGCAGCAGAGAUAAACGAUGCUAAAGGCUGAAGAUACUGGAAACAUGGAGAAUGGACCAGAGAGGAGCAGUAGCAAUUGCCUGACAAGAACAUGACUCCAAACUGACACUGCAGUCUCUUUUAAGGAGGUUAGUUCACUUUUUUGACAUCAUAGGAAGAAGCUUUGUGAACUCUUAGGAUUUGUAAAACCAAUCAUAUUUGUCAGUAUUCUAAGUUAUUCCACAAAUAAAAGUGUAAAAAUUGUUGCCAAAGAUUCUAUUUUGAAGACAGAAACCCGGAACUGAGCUUGAAUAGGUAAAGUGGUUUCCUGAUGGGACGACAACAAAGGACUAAACACAAGAACUUCUAGAAACGUAGGUAGAGACAAGAAGUGCCUCUAAUUAUUAGUCAAUCUAAACAAUCUGCCAUCUGCCUCAGGGAACUGCUCCUCUUUAAGCUCCUCCUCCUGAUGAACCUUAACAACUCCAGCUGCAAUUGCUUGUCACACCUUGUAAUGAGAAGAAGAGACACACAAAUACCAAUCUGCAUACAACCCUUUGGACAUAACAACCAUAUUGCCUUGCAUAAAAUCGAUUGUUCUUCUCAGCAUGAUGCUGCUCUGCUUCAGAAUACACUUAGUGUGUUCAAAGUGACAUGCAGUGUUAGUUUUCUGAUAAGCACAGUAGUUUUCAUUUGUACUGAAAAGCAAAAUUUUGAUUUUACUUUCCAAGAUCACCUUUUUCUGUCUUCCUCUGCUGGGUCAACGACAUGCCCAGUUUGGGAAACUGCAACCAGGAUUUGCUAUAUCUAAUAGUACGUGGACAGCCAUGUCUUGGUAGGUCUGCAGUUGUAGUCAUACUCCGUUUUCAGAUGAUGGAUUUAAGAUGUGACAGGUUAAGAUAUGUUUUGUACACAUCUAUCGAUCCGUUCCUCUGGCCUGCCUGUGUUCAUCCCUAUUCAUUUCAACCACAGUUUAAGGACAAUGCUUGUGAAGUACAUGAAUGCAUCAAGAAAUUCAUUUCUAUACCCAAUAUUAAAGCUGUAUAGAUUAAGAAAAAUAUGUUCAGAUGUAA